UGUCUUAUUUUAAUGGGUUUUCCUGGCUACAGCGGCGCACUGACAUAGAUUGUGUAUCAAAGCGAAGAGUCGCCACUCGACUCUAUUUUCAC